UGGGGGAUAUUGGACAAUGGGCGCAAGCCUGAUCCAGCCAUGCCGCGUGUGUGAAGAAGGCCUUUUGGUUGUAAAGCACUUUAAGCGAGGAGGAGGCUACUUGGAUUAAUACUCUAGGAUAGUGGACGUUACUCGCAGAAUAAGCACCGGCUAACCCUGUGCCAGCAGCCGCGGUAAUACAGAGGGUGCGAGCGUUAAUCGGAUUUACUGGGCGUAAAGCGUGCGUAGGCGGCUUCUUAAGUCGGAUGUGAAAUCCCUGAGCUUAACUUAGGAAUUGCAUUCGAUACUGGGAAGCUAGAGUAUGGGAGAGGAUGGUAGAAUUCCAGGUGUAGCGGUGAAAUGCGUAGAGAUCUGGAGGAAUACCGAUGGCGAAGGCAGCCAUCUGGCCUAAUACUGACGCUGAGGUACGAAAGCAUGGGGAGCAAACAGG
rnacentral:rRNA from 1 species